CCUACGGGAGGCAGCAGUGAGGAAUAUUGGUCAAUGGGCGAGAGCCUGAACCAGCCAAGUCGCGUGAGGGAGUACUGCCCUAUGGGUUGUAAACCUCUUUUGUCGGGGAGCAAAAGCCGGACGUGUCCGGCUGUGAGAGUACCCGAAGAAAAAGCAUCGGCUAACUCCGUGCCAGCAGCCGCGGUAAUACGGGGGAUGCGAGCGUUAUCCGGAUUUAUUGGGUUUAAAGGGUGCGCAGGCGGAUUUUUAAGUCAGCGGUAAAAUCGUGGGGAUCAACCCCAUCCAGCCGUUGAAACUGGGGAUCUAGAGUGUGCGAGAGGUAUGCGGAAUGCGUGGUGUAGCGGUGAAAUGCAUAGAUAUCACGCAGAACCCCGAUUGCGAAGGCAGCAUACCGGUGCACAACUGACGCUCAGGCACGAAAGCGUGGGUAUCGAACAGGAUUAGAUACCCCUGUAGUC
rnacentral:rRNA from 1 species